CAGAUUUUUGCAGAGGUGCAGCUGACUACGCCAACCUCUCUGAAGCUCGAAGGACGAGACAACUGGGUCCACGCCAGUCACUGCAAGAAGUUGCUUAACUACAAGACAUAAUC